rnacentral:rRNA from 1 species
UACGAGGGGGGGCAAGCGUUGUUCGGAAUUAUUGGGCGUAAAGGGCGCGUAGGCGGUGCGGUAAGUCAGAUGUGAAAACUCAGGGCUCAACCCGGAGACGCCAUCUGAUACUGCGGUGACUGGAGUCUGGUAGGGGAACACGGAAUUCCUGGUGUAGCGGUGAAAUGCGCAGAUAUCAGGAGGAACACCGAUGGCGAAGGCAGUGUUCUGGGCCAGUACUGACGCUGAGGAGCGAAAGCGUGGGGAGCGAACAGG